CGUAGGGUGCGAGCGUUAAUCGGAAUUACUGGGCGUAAAGCGUGCGCAGGCGGUUCUGAAAGUCAGCUGUGAAAGCCCCGGGCUUAACCUGGGAACUGCGGUUGAAACUACAGGACUAGAAUCUGGCAGAGGGGGGUGGAAUUCCACGUGUAGCAGUGAAAUGCGUAGAGAUGUGGAGGAACACCGAUGGCGAAGGCAGCCCCCUGGGCUGAGAUUGACGCUCAGGCACGAAAGCGUGGGGAGCAAACAGGAUUAGAUACCCUGGUAGUCCACGCCCUAAACGAUGUCAACUAGGUGUUGGGAGCGCAAGUUCUUGGUACCGCAGCUAACGCGUGAAGUUGACCGCCUGGGGAGUACGGUCGCAAGAUUA
rnacentral:rRNA from 1 species